UGUCAUUGAUGGUUGCCGGCUUCCUACAGCGAAACCUUGCGACAUGCUCCUCCCGCUAGCCAUCUUGACAGUGCUCUUGGUCCAGUUCUUGGAAACAUCAGAAGGAUGGGUAUACACGCAUGUUGUUUCCCUUACUAGCGACGGAAGGUGCAUUUUCAAUGGCAGACGACUUGACAAGGACAUAGAGUACAGCUUUCAUUCUCCUUGCGAACGCUGGGAAUGUUCGUACCAUGACAUCAAUCAUGGCUUCUUACAACAAGAAACCUGCCAAGUAGAACGGCCGAAGCCAUAUCCCUGCCGACUAAGAAAGGGUAAGGGUCGAUACCCGAGGUGUUGCCCACGUAAUGUCUGCGAUGGAUCGCCUGAGAAUGACAGCGCAUAUGACUGAAAGAAUCAACCACGGGCCUUUCGUAUAAGCCCCACCUUUACUGACAGA
rnacentral:lncRNA from 1 species